rnacentral:rRNA from 1 species
AUGAGUUGUAUUAGUUGGAACUGCCGGAGGCUUGGGAACCCCGAGGCAGUUCGUGAACUUCGCAAUAUUGUGAAGUUGGAAGGCCCCGCUCUGCUCUUUGUAAUGGAAACGAAAAUUAGAGCUAAAAGAGUAGAGGAUUUACAGAGUAGUUUGGGAUUUGCUGGUAGCUUUGCUAUAGACAGUGCGGGCCUCAGUGGUGGCAUUGGCCUGUUUUGGUCACGCGAUGUGUCAGUUGAACUUAAAACCUAUAGUCAACGGCAUAUCGAUGUUUUUGUUACUAACAAGUUGUUGAACUCUCCACCUUGGAGAUUCAGGGGUUUCUAUGGAGCAUCGCGUGCUGAGGAGAGGCAUCAUAGCUAG